UACGGGGGGGGCAAGCGUUGUUCGGAAUUACUGGGCGUAAAGUGUGCGCAGGCGGCCGAGCAAGUCGAGUGUGAAAUCCCCGGGCUUAACUUGGGAAUUGCGCUCGAAACUACUUGGCUUGAGUGUGGCAGAGGAAGGUGGAAUUCCACGUGUAGCGGUGAAAUGCGUAGAGAUGUGGAGGAACACCGAUGGCGAAGGCAGCCUUCUGGGCCAACACUGACGCUCAUGCACGAAAGCGUGGGGAGCAAACAGG
rnacentral:rRNA from 1 species